UGAGUUUACAAAACAAUGUAAGGCCUUAUACUUCAACAUUGCUUUUGCUUUGUUUAUCAAUUGGAUGCAACUCAUAUAGAAUUUUUUUUUUUUUUUUUUUUUUAAAUCAUCUAUUGACUUGCGCAAUUUGUUGUUUUUACUGACCACAAGUGUAAUACAUGAAAGGGGUAUUUAUCAUUUCUUGGAGUCUCUUUCUAACAUUUAGUUGUGGUAUAGAACUUGGAGGUAAACGAGUCCUGGAACAUGGAGGUAAACGAGUCCUCAGAACUUUUAGCUAAUCUCAUUUAGGUUAAUAAACUUCAUAUUUCACCACUCUAUAGUUCAUCACCCAUCGCCCUUGGAAUUGAUGGAAUUCUUACUAGUUAAAAGAAAAGCUUGUCGCUUAGUUAACAUAUUGGCAACAUUAUAGGCACUGUUUACAUACUCUGUCACAACACUCACAUCUUGAACUUUAUCAUGGACUAAAUGGCAGUCAAGCUCUAUAUGCUUUGUCUGUCCAUGGAAAAUCGGGUUUGCUGCAAUGUGUAAAGUAGCUUUAUUAUAACAAAAUAGCAUAGCUGCUUGAGGAUAUUGUAUUUGCAAAUCAUGAAGUAUCUAAGCCAGCUUAAUUCAAAGAAUACAUUGGCCAUGGACCUAUUCACGGCCUCAGUCGAGGACCUUGAAAUUGUGUUCUGUUUCUUAGAUUUCCAAGAUGCCAAAGAAGAGCCAAUGAACGCACAAUACCUUGUUACUGAUCUUCUUGUAUCUAAGCAUGCCCCCAGUCCGAAUUACUAUAAGCUCUAAGCUUUAGGGUAGAUGUCGAAGAAUAAAAUAAUCAUGGUCCUGGUGCUUGUUUAAUGUAUCUCAAUGCUUUGUGAGCUGCAUUCAAAUAAGGAAGCAUGGGAUUCUGCAUAAAUUGGCUCAAUAAUUAGACUACAUAUGAUAUGUCAGGUAUGGUUAUGGUUAUGGUCAAAUAGAGCAACCUUCCAAUGAGUCUUCUGUAAAUAGAAGUACUUGGGAUAAGUUCUUCUUCUUCAUCCUUCAAAAGCUUGAGGUUUUGAUCAAGUGGUAUUUUGGUUGGUUUUGAGCAAAUUGUUCCAGAAUUUGCCAAUAUGUCUAGCUCAUAUUUUCUUUGGCAAAUAUAAAUCCCCUUUUAUGAUCUUGCUGUCUCUACACCGAGAAAAUUCUUCAAUUACCCCAGAUCUUUGAUUUUGAAUCUGUCAUUAAGAGAGGCUUUGAGAGAUGAGACGAUGUCCAUGUCAUUGCCAGAUACUAUGAUGUUGUCAACCUAAACUAAAACUUUAUUGAAGAAUUCUUUGAUUGUCUUUGAAUAAGCUAGAAUGUACCUUUGAUUGUUGAAAGCCUUGUUGAACAAUAAAAUCAGAUGACUUAGAAUUCCAUUAUUGUGAAGCUUGCUUUGAACCAUACAAACUUUUAUUAAGCUAACAAAACUUUGCCUGGCCCUCCUUCGAAUACCCUUGUGGCAUUUCCAUAUAUACUUUCUCCUCCAGAUCUCCAUGGAAGAAUACAUUAUUUACUUCAAACUGGUACAAAUACCUGCCUUUAGAUGCUGCCAUGACAAGUAAGGUAUGAGUAGUUACCAUUUUUGUAAUAGGGAAGAAGGUUUCACGACAGUCUAGUCCUUCUUGCUAAGUAUGUCCUUUAGCUACUAGUCUGACUUUAUAAUUUCCAAUACUUCCAUCGACAUUGAAUUUAAAUUUGUAAACCUUCUUUCAACCUAUAGCUACCUUUUGUCCUUUCCAUGAGGCAAAUCGAUAAUAACCCAAGUGCCAUUCAAUUCUAGAAUAUGCAUCUCAGCUUUUACAUCGUUACGCCACUCAACAUAUUUUUGGGCUUGUUGGUAGCAACUAGGUUUAGUAUGUGUUAAAAUGGAAGUGACAAAGGUUUUAUAAUUACUUGAUAGUUUAUGAUAUGACAAUAUAGCACGUAAAGGAGAGGGAGUACCUGACUUUGUAUGGACCUUAUCCUUGUUCGACUCCUGCAAAUGAGGAAGUGAUGCCCGCUGACAAAUGAAGUCUUGUGGAUGUGAGGGUGCUUUUCUAUUUCUGGUGGAUCGUCAAGGAAAAUGAUGGAUAAUGGUGGUAUCUUGGGAAGGCCCUGGAAUUGGUUUCAUCUCUUCUUCAUAAACAAUAUUUCCGGUGAGUGAUUUAUUUCUUCUGCAAUUCGAAUCUUGAGUUGGAGGCUUUGGUCAUUUGAGUAUUCUAAAUCAAUGUCAGUUGGUUGAGUGUGUUGGAAAUAAAAAAUUAUGGGAUGAAAGACUAGAGAUAAAAAUUCAGAAUACAAAAAUAUUUGUAUUAUAU
rnacentral:lncRNA from 1 species